GGGAGCACGACAUUGCUCACAUUGCUUACAGUUUCAUUUUAAUGCCAGCGCGGGUGCUGGCUUUUUUUU
rnacentral:antisense_RNA from 1 species